rnacentral:rRNA from 1 species
UACAGAGGUCCCAAGCGUUGUUCGGAUUCAUUGGGCGUAAAGGGCGCGUAGGCGGCGGGGUAAGUCGGGUGUGAAAUCUCAGGGCUCAACCCUGAAACUGCACUCGAUACUGCUCUGCUUGAGGACUGGAGAGGAGACUGGAAUUCACGGUGUAGCAGUGAAAUGCGUAGAUAUCGUGAGGAAGACCAGUGGCGAAAGGCGGGUCUCUGGACAGUUC